rnacentral:tRNA from 1 species
GGGGAUGUGGCGGAACUGGUAGACGCACUAGUUUCAGGUACUAGCGAUCGCAAGGUCGUGAGAGUUCGACUCUCUCUAUCCCCA